AACUCCAGGCGAUUGGCGCGAAGGAGGCGAAAAGGGCGGAUUCCCUUUCCGGGUCGCGCCCGGGCUGCAGGUCCUUAUCCGGAAGGGGUUACUAGGUGAACACUGCCGGAGGGAGAGCGCUCUGAAAUCCAUUCUUCAGCCGCACGUGGAAAAUGGACAGCUGUGACUCUUAAAGAGAAUUAAAGCAACAAAGCAUCUCAGCCUGCUCUAUGAGCUGGAUAUUUCGUAGGAAGGAGCCGAUUUGGCGAAAGUUACGUAAACAAUGGAAUUGUCUCAGUUUGCGCCUUUGUUUCGUUUGACAGCCCUCCAGGGAGUCAUAGUGAUUGCUGGAGACGGUGAACUAACACUGUGGGGACCCUUGUGCUAAACGUGUCAAGUGGCACAACAAGGAUAGGAACACGGGUCCUUUGGACUCCACAGCUUCUGCUCCUUCCAGAUUAAGCCACACUGCUUUCUCCAA
rnacentral:lncRNA from 1 species